GUUAGGAAUAUUGGACAAUGGGCGCAAGCCUGAUCCAGCCAUGCCGCGUGAGUGAUGAAGGCCUUCGGGUUGUAAAGCUCUUUAGUCCACGAAUAUAAUGACUGUAGUGGAAGAAUAAGCCCCGGCUAACUUCGUGCCAGCAGCCGCGGUAAUACGAAGGGGGCGAGCGUUAUUCGGAAUCACUGGACGUAAAGCGUGCGUAGGCUGUUUUGUAAGUCAGAAGUGAAAGCCCAGGGCUUAACCCUGGAAUUGCUUUUGAAACUACAAGACUCGAAUUCGGGAGAGGAUAGCGGAAUUGUCAGUGUAGCAGUGAAAUGCGUAGAUAUUGACAGGAACACCAGUGGCGCAAGCGGCUAUCUGGACCGAUAUUGACGCUGAGGCACGAAAGCGUGGGGAGCAAACAGGAUUAGAUACCCCGGUAGUCC
rnacentral:rRNA from 1 species